AUGAAGGCCUUCGGGUUGUAAACCGCUGUCGUAGAGGAGGAAAUUCUAGUGGGUACUCCCAUUAGAUUGACUGAUUCUAGGAGGAAGGACCGGCUAAUCUCGUGCCAGCAGCCGCGGUAAUACGAGAGGUCCAAACGUUAUUCGGAAUCACUGGGCUUACAGAGUUCGUAGGCGGUUCUACAAGUGAGGUGUGAAAGCCCUCGGCUCAACCGAGGAACUGCGCUUCAAACUGUAGAACUAGAGGGAGAUAGAGGUGAGCAGAACUGACGGUGGAGCGGUGAAAUGACGUUGAUAUCAUCAGGAAUACCGGAGGCGAAGGCGGCUCACUGGGUCUCUUCUGACGCUGAGGAACGAAAGCUAGGGGAGCAAACGGGAUUAGAUACCCCGGUAGUCCUAGCCGUAAACGAUGAGCACUGGGCCGGAGCUCUGCACAGGGUUUCGGCCGUAGCGAAAGUGUUAAGUGCUCCGCCUGGGGAGUAUGGUCGCAAGGCUG
rnacentral:rRNA from 1 species